UAUCUGGUUGAUUCUGCCAGUAGUCAUAUGCUUGUCUCAAAGAUAAGCCAUGC
rnacentral:rRNA from 1 species